rnacentral:piRNA from 1 species
AGCUCCACUGGGAAAACCAUCAGCAGAGC